AGCUCGAGUUUUUCUUCAUUAUCAUAUAAAUCUUUAGCUUUUUACUAAAGAUUUCCAUAGAAGGGAACUUUUGCGAGUGACCUGUAUUUUUCGAGGCUCUGCUCACAGCAGACCU
ensembl:snRNA U5 U5 spliceosomal RNA